rfam:Oryza rufipogon genomic scaffold, chr11
AAUAAUUGCAACCAUAAGUUUUCAUGUCCAACUUUGAUCGUUCAUCUUAUUUAAAAUUUAUUUAUGAUUAGUAUUUUUAUUGUUAUUAGAUUAUAAAACAUGAAUAGUACUUUAUGCGUGACUUAAGUUUUUUUAGUUCUUUCAAAAAAUUUUAAAUAAGAUAGACGAUUAAAGUUGGACACGAAAACUCAUAACUGCAUUUAUU